UGGGGAAUAUUGCACAAUGGGGGAAACCCUGAUGCAGCCAUGCCGCGUGUGUGAAGAAGGCCCUCGGGUUGUAAAGCACUUUCAGUCGUGAGGAAAGGGGUGUAGCUAAUAUCUGCAUCCUGUGACGUUAGCGACAGAAGAAGCACCGGCUAACUCCGUGCCAGCAGCCGCGGUAAUACGGAGGGUGCGAGCGUUAAUCGGAAUUACUGGGCGUAAAGCGUGCGUAGGCGGUUUCUUAAGCGAGAUGUGAAAUCCCGGGGCUCAACCUCGGAACUGCAUUUCGAACUGGGUGACUAGAGUACUGUAGAGGGUGGUGGAAUUUCCAGUGUAGCGGUGAAAUGCGUAGAGAU
rnacentral:rRNA from 1 species